rnacentral:rRNA from 1 species
UACGAAGGGGGGCUAGCGUUGCUCGGAAUCACUGGGCGUAAAGGGUGCGUAGGCGGGUUUUUAAGUCAGGGGUGAAAUCCUGGAGCUCAACUCCAGAACUGCCUUUGAUACUGAAGAUCUUGAGUCCGGGAGAGGUGAGUGGAACUGCGAGUGUAGAGGUGAAAUUCGUAGAUAUUCGCAAGAACACCAGUGGCGAAGGCGGCUCACUGGCCCGGUACUGACGCUGAGGCACGAAAAGCGUGGGGGAGCAAACAGG